rnacentral:rRNA from 1 species
GACGUAGGGCGCGAGCGUUGUCCGGAUUUAUUGGGCGUAAAGAGCUCGUAGGCGGCUUGUUGCGUCGACCGUGAAAACCCGGGGCUCAACUGUGAGCCUGCGGUCGAUACGGGCAAGCUAGAGUUCGGUAGGGGAGACUGGAAUUCCUGGUGUAGCGGUGAAAUGCGCAGAUAUCAGGAGGAACACCGGUGGCGAAGGCGGGUCUCUGGCCAUACUGACGCUGAGGAGCGAAAGCGUGGGGAGCGAACAGG